CCCGGCCUCGCUGCUGCGCUAGAAUCAUGUGUGGGGGCUACUACGCUCCCUUGGGUUUGGUCUCCACAUCAUGCAGCAGAGUGUGUGGUUCUGCGCAGGCAUGAUUUAUAUAAGUAACCGCACAGUGCAGUCAGUUUUAUGUCAGAGUUUCAAGAUGGAGGACCUGCUGAGAAGCUUGGGACAAAGUACUGGAGCAGGCCAUGACUGCUGGACUGUCUUUUAUGCUCUAUCAUUCCUGAUUUUCCAAGCGACCUGAUGAAACCCUUACCCAAAAGAGAGUGCCACUUCAGCUGGGAAACCGGGGAGCCUUUGAUUCUGUGCCAGGUAGGGAAUUAUUCCAGCCAGUGGGGGAGAGCAGAGAGAUCAUGAUUCCUGGCCUAUUUUGGGGAGAACAAAUCAACAGCACAACAGGUGGUGAGUCUUACAGCUGCCGCCUGGGGGAUAUUACUUACUGUUCAAGGGCAUCAGAGUUUCCACAUGGGCUCACCGUACUGUGAUUCCACCCACCUACUGGCACUGCAUCGCUGCCCAAAUGUGAAGCCAUUUUUGGGGGCCCGGAUCAGCCUCAACGGGUAGUGAAAGAGCAGGAGGUUCAGGACAAGAUGUGACUAUGUUGCCUCUCAAACUUUGCAAAAGAUGCUCCCUAUCUUAGAUCAUGUCCAGGAUGAUAGUCCCCCCGCCCCCAAAAAAGAGAGACUCCACUGUGACAAAGAUCCCUCUACAGGGAGCAGAUAAAAGGACACCACCAUUCAGAGGGCUGGCAAAGCUGAGCCUGUGGGAGGUUGAAGUGCACAGGUGCAAAUUGUCUACCAGGGUUAGGCGAAAUCCAGGAAUGAUGCCAGAGAGAGACUGGUCUUUCACCUCUUGGCUGCCUGCUC